UAGUUCCUUACGUCCAACAAGAAGGCAGUUCCCUAGAGUUAUGCCUUUGUCAAAGCCAGUGCCCGCCACUAAACUGAACACGCUGACACGCUCCACUGCUGGCCCCUGUCACUGCAAAUAUGACCUUAUGGCAUUCUUUGAGAUCUGUGAGCUGGAGGCCAAUGGAGACUACAUCCCAGCUGUUGUUGAUCACAGGGGUGGAAUGCCCUGCCAUGGUACAUUCCUGUUGCACCAGG